rnacentral:rRNA from 1 species
UACGGAGGGGACUAGCGUUGUUCGGAAUUACUGGGCGUAAAGCGCACGUAGGCGGAUUGUUAAGUCAGGGGGUGAAAUCCCGAGGCUCAACCUCGGAACUGCCUUUGAUACUGGCAAUCUCGAGUCCGGAAGAGGUGAGUGGAAUUCCUAGUGUAGAGGUGAAAAUUCGUAGAUAUUAGGAAGAACAACCAGUGGCGAAGGCGGCUCACUGGUCCGGUACUGACGCUGAGGUGCGAAAGCG